CAAAUACGCCGAAGGUUCCUGCAUGGUAAAAUUCGGCGACACCCAUGUGCUCGUCACCGCCACGCUGGAAGAUCGCCUGCCGCCCUGGCUCAAGGGACAGGGCCGCGGAUGGGUCACCGCCGAAUACGGCAUGCUGCCGCNGCCACCCAUGAGCGCAUGCGCCGUGAAUCCGCUGCCGGAAAGCAAAGCGGCCGCACCGU
rnacentral:misc_RNA from 1 species